rnacentral:tRNA from 1 species
GGUCUGGUAGUUCAGUUGGUUAGAAUAUCGGCCUGUCACGCCGGGGGUCGCGGGUUCGAGUCCCGUCCAGACCG